rnacentral:lncRNA from 1 species
UGAUUGAAUCCUACUUCUCAAAAAAAAAAAAAAAAUCUCCCCUCCUCUGACUCAUUCCCAAAACCUGUUCUAGCUCUACUUUAAAACACAUUUUCUACCUGUAUUUAAAACAACUCCGAAGCAUAGGUGAUGUUUCUCUGCCACUACAUUCGGGGUUUCCUGCUCUGCACAGCGCAUUCCCGCAGGCAGCUCUCGGCGGGACAAGUUGCUGGGAGGAUUUUAGCUCGAUGUCAACAUCCGUCCGUGCCUCGGGGCUCAGCGUCCCGAUCUCGCCCGCUCCCAGCGGCCAGGAGCAGCGAGAUAACAGAUGCGUGAGGAAACGAGACAAACGCAACGACCUCACAGGACGGCGGGGACACCAGGCGCGCACCGCGGUGCUCCUGGCACGAUCUCUCCUAGUCAGUCCCAAAUUAGAGCAUGGGGGCAAAAGGGAAGAUUCGGCAGCGGAGACCAAAGCGGGAACAGCCAGGACACAGCGGGUGUGACCCGCGGAGUGACAUUGGAGACUCUCUCCAACCAGACCAUGCCCAGCACUCAUUGCAAACCAGGAGGGGCUGGGGCUGCUGGGACCAGAAGCAAGAGACUUGCUGCAUUCCUUCCCAUGCUGUCCCAGCCCUGGCUCCCCAGGCAGCACAGUGAAACCUCCCAGGGAUGCUGAAAGGAAGGAACCAGGCUGGAUCUGCAAACCCUCCUGGACAUGGAGGUAAAGAAGGGUUGAAUGUACCACAGGGAUGCACAAACAGCCAAACCCCAGGUGGGCAGAGGGGAGGUAGAGGUUGGAAUUUGGGAGAGGACUGAUGCUGGCAGAAGAUAAGAAGGUAUCAGAGUAGUGAAUUCAGCCUGGAGUAAGUUUUUCUUGGGAAGAACUGUCUGUUUGCCAGCACAGUGUGUAUUGACGGUGUGCAGCUGUGGACAAAGCUGAGUGUGGAUUUACCUCCUGUCUGAGCAGAAAUCAUGGGCUGGGAAAGUACUUGUUCUGGCAAGCAAGGGUAGAGAGCUUACAUUGGAGACCUGGGUGACACAGGCACAAAUACAACCCAGAACCCAUAGUUAAUUGUUGGUGAAGAUUUACCCUUUGUCCUUAUUAACUUGCCUUUAAACAGACAUGAUAAAUGCUGUUCAUUACUCAAAUGUAUUCUGAAGAAGUCUAAACUUCCCCAGCUCACCCUUUAAUCAUCUUCUGGCUUACACAUUUGUCUUUCCUUCCAAGAUGCUGGUAAUAAAUAAAUGCUGUUUAAAUGGUCA